GAUGAACGCUGGCGGCGUGCUUAACACAUGCAAGUCGAACGGGAAACCUUUUAUUGAAGCUUCGGCAGAUUUAGCUGGUUUCUAGUGGCGGACGGGUGAGUAACGCGUGGGUAACCUGCCUUAUACAGGGGGAUAACAACCAGAAAUGGUUGCUAAUACCGCAUAAGCGCACAGGACCGCAUGGUCCGGUGUGAAAAACUCCGGUGGUAUAAGAUGGACCCGCGUUGGAUUAGCUAGUUGGCAGGGUAACGGCCUACCAAGGCGACGAUCCAUAGCCGGCCGGAGAGGGUGAACGGUCACAUUGGGACUGAGACACGGCCCAGACUCCUACGGGAGGCAGCAGUGGGGAAUAUUGCACAAUGGGGGAAACGCUGAUGCAGCGACGCCGCGUGAAGGAAGAAGUAUCUCGGUAUGUAAACUUCUAUCAGCAGGGAAGAUAGUGACGGUACCUGACUAAGAAGCCCCGGCUAACUACGUG
rnacentral:rRNA from 1 species